rnacentral:rRNA from 1 species
AGGACGAACGCUGGCGGCGUGCUUAACACAUGCAAGUCGAGCGGAAAGGCCCUUCGGGGUACUCGAGCGGCGAACGGGUGAGUAACACGUGAGCAAUCUGCCCCUAGCUUCGGGAUAGCUCCGGGAAACCGGAAUUAAUACCGAAUAUUACUACGGCCGACAUCGGCUGUGGUGGAAAGUUUUUCGGCUAGGGAUGAGCUCGCGGCCUAUCAGCUUGUUGGUGAGGUAACGGCUCACCAAGGCGACGACGGGU